AUCCGUAGCAAUACGGUGAAAGUGGCGGAAGGGUGAGUAAUGCAUAGAUAACCUACCUCCAAGUCUGGGAUAACUCCGGGAAACUGGAGCUAAUACCGGAUGGGGUCGCGAGAUCGCCUGGUUUUGCGACUAAAGGGACCCUACUUACAGUGGUCUCGCUCGGAGAGGGAUCUAUGUCCUAUCAGCUAGUUGGCGAGGGUAACGGCCCACCAAGGCUGUGACGGGCAGCCGGCCUUAGCGGGUGUCCGGCCACAUUGGGACUGAGACACUGCCCAAACUCCUACGGGAGGCUGCAGUCGAGGAUCUUCCGCAAUGGGCGCAAGCCUGACGGAGCGACGCCGCGUGUGGGAUGAAGGCCUUCGGGUUGUAAACCACUGUCACUCGUUAAGAAAGGGGCCGGUGUUAACAGCAUCGGCAACUGACAAAGGCGAGAGAGGAAGCCACGGCUAACUUCGUGCCAGCAGCCGCGGUAAGACGAAGGUGGCGAGCGUUGUUCGGAAUCACUGGGCAUAAAGCGCACGUAGGCGGCGACGUAAGUUGGGUGUGAAAUCCCCCGGCCCAACCGGGGAACUGCGCCCAGUACUGCGUUGCUUGAGGAUCCAAGGGGUGCAUGGAAUUCCCGGUGGAGCGGUGAAAUGCGUUGAUAUCGGGAGGAACUCCGGCGGCGAAAGCGGUGCACUGGUGGAUUACUGACGCUGAGGUGCGAAAGCCAGGGGAGCAAACGGGAUUAGAUACCCCGGUAGUCCUGGCCGUAAACGAUGGGCACUAGGUAGGGGGGAACCAAACGCCUCCCUGCUGGAGUGAAUAUAUUAAGUGCCCCGCCUGGGAAGUACGGUCGCAAGGCUG
rnacentral:rRNA from 1 species